UCUGCUGGAGGAGUCUGGAGGAUCCUGUGAAAAUUCAGUUGGCGUUGUUGAAGUCCGGCUGACACUAUUGAAGGUUGAUGGCUGGGGAGGUACGACAGACACUGGAGGCGGUCGGCCGUUGUAGAAAUCCAGCUGCUGGAGCCCGUCUAUUGUAGAAGUUCAUCCGGAAUCCAUCCGCUACGGAAGUUCAGGGGGAGUCCGAUUCUUGUAAAAGUCCGGAUGGGGACCAC
rnacentral:lncRNA from 1 species